rnacentral:tRNA from 1 species
GGGGAUUUAGCUCAGUGGUAGAGCACUUGCCUAACACACGCAAGGCCCUGGGUUCGGUCCCCAGCUCCG